UAUCUUUGUCCUAAGUCAAACUUGUCGAACUUUGACCAAGUUUAUAGAAAAAUAUAUGAACAUCUACCAUAUCAAAUAAAUACGCUAUCAAAAUAUUUUUCAUGUUCUAUCUGGUGACACUAGUUUGAAGUUGUAGGUAUUUUGUGCAUUUUUCUAUAAAUUUGUUCAAAGCUAUAAAAGUUUGACUUAGGAUAAAGCUAG
rnacentral:pre_miRNA from 1 species